UACGGAGGGUGCGAGCGUUGUCCGGAUUUAUUGGGUUUAAAGGGUGCGUAGGCGGUCGAUUAAGUCUGGGGUGAAAGCCCGCUGCUCAACAGCGGAACUGCCCUGGAUACUGGUUGACUUGAGUACAGACGAGGUUGGCGGAAUGGACUGAGUAGCGGUGAAAUGCAUAGAUACAGUCCAGAACCCCGAUUGCGAAGGCAGCUGACUAGGCUGUUACUGACGCUGAGGCACGAAAGCGUGGGGAGCGAACAG
rnacentral:rRNA from 1 species